CAAGUCGUGGGGCAGCAUGGGUGUAGCAAUACAUCUGAUGGCGACCGGCAAACGGGUGCGGAACACGUACACAACCUUCCUUUUAGCUGGUGAAUAGCCCAGGGAAACUAGGAUUAAUACUCCGUAACAUAUAGAAGUGGCAUCACUUUUAUAUUAUAGCAGCAAUGCGCUAGAAGAUGGGUGUGCGGCUGAUUAGAUAGUUGGCGGGGUAACGGCCCACCAAGUCGACGAUCAGUAACUGGUGUGAGAGCACGACCAGUCACACGGGCACUGAGACACGGGCCCGACUCCUACGGGAGGCAGCAGUAAGGAAUAUUGGUCAAUGGACGCAAGUCUGAACCAGCCAUGCCGCGUGGAGGAUGAAGGUCCUCUGGAUUGUAAACUUCUUUUAUCUGGGAAGAAAUCCAUUUUUUCUAAAAUGGUUGACGGUACCAGAUGAAUAAGCACCGGCUAACUCCGUGCCAGCAGCCGCGGUAAUACGGAGGGUGCAAGCGUUAUCCGGAUUCACUGGGUUUAAAGGGUGCGUAGGUGGGCAAGUAAGUCAGUGGUGAAAUCUCCGGGCUUAACCCGGAAACUGCCAUUGAUACUAUUUGUCUUGAAUACUGUGGAGGUCAGCGGAAUAUGUCAUGUAGCGGUGAAAUGCUUAGAUAUGACAUAGAACACCAAUUGCGAAGGCAGCUGGCUACACAAAUAUUGACACUGAGGCACGAAAGCGUGGGGAUCAAACAGGAUUAGAUACCCUGGUAGUCCACGCCCUAAACUAUGGAUACUCGACAUUUGCGAUAAACUGCAAGUGUCUGAGCGAAAGCAUUAAGUAUCCCACCUGGGAAGUACGAUCGCAAGAUUGAAACUCAAAGGAAUUGGCGGGGGUCCGCACAAGCGGUGGAGCAUGUGGUUUAA
rnacentral:rRNA from 1 species